UACGUAGGUGACAAGCGUUGUCCGGAUUUACUGGGCGUAAAGAGCGCGCAGGCGGUCGAUCAAGUCGAGUGUGAAAGCCCCCGGCUCAACUGGGGAGGGUCAUUCGAUACUGAUCGACUCGAAGGCAGGAGAGGGUAGUGGAAUUCCCGGUGUAGUGGUGAUAUGCGUAGAUAUCGGGAGGAACACCAGUGGCGAAGGCGGCUUUCUGGGCCUUACCUGACGCUGAGACGCGAAAGCGUGGGGAGCAAACAGG
rnacentral:rRNA from 1 species